rnacentral:rRNA from 1 species
UACGACCUCUUGACGAGAAGGAUGAGCUAUCUACGGUUUUCCCACCUCUUUUUUUUUCAUUUUUUUUUUUGCGGAGCUUUCACAUAGGUAGUGUUCCUGAAAAGUUGUUAAUUACGGAGCGUUAGAUUAGCUACCAUACACAUAAAACACCGUUAGAUUAGAUUAGACAGGGCAGGGGUUGGGAUUGGGGGUUGAGGUGAGGAAGUAGUCGUUCGUUUCGUUUCCGUACCGCGGCCGCCGGCCAGCGCCCGCUCCUGCUCCUGCCCGGGCCCCUGCGCCGGCGCCGGCGCCCGCUCCUGCGCGCCGGUUCUGGGGCGGAGGUCGGCGUCUUGGGCGCGGCCUCCUCCGGGGGCUGCGGCGGGUGGUGGUUCUCGUUCUCGUCCUCGUCCUGUUCCUGUUCCCCGUCCUUCUCGUCCUCGUCGAGUGGGUGUGGGUUCUACGGAGACGGAGACGAAAACGGCCCGCCCUCUGCUAACUCUAGAGGCUGAGCGGCCUGCGUAGGGGAGUCGUAGUUGUUGUUCCUCCGCGGAGGAGGAGCGGUGUGUAUAUAUGAUGAUCGAGUUGGGUAGUCUAGUUCCUCCUCGGUUCGAGUUAGUGUCGGCAGGUGGUGUUUGGGGUACUCGGGAGAGGGAGACGACGGUGGUUAUAACUGCUCGUCGUCCUCUUUUACCUCCACCUCCGACCUCUCGGAGUACUAUACAAGAACAGGCAUGUCCUUCUUCUUCGUCGUCGGGGAGGUGUUCUUCUUGUUCUCCGUCUGUUCGUUUGCGAUGUCUUGUUCCGUCGUGUCCACUAUCUCGGCCUCCCACCUUUUGGGCUACUACUACUACUACUACUACUACUACUACUACUACUACUACUACUAGAUCAGCAUUUCCCACUACAACGACGUUGACUACUACGUGUUUUAUUCGUUCUGUCAGUUCGAGUGGUUGAGGUGGUCCUCCUUGUUUACGAACGACGUUGAGUACUACUACGUCUUUUAUUCGUUCCGUGGGUUCGAGUGGGUGAGGUGGUCCCUCUUUACCUACGACUCGCCCUUCUCCUCCUCCUCCUCCUAGGGCUUCUCCAGUAAAAGCUCCUGAGACAGAGACACCCACUGCCCGUCCGGCGUUGACUCCUGUUUGUUCCUCUACUGGGACGACGAUCCCGGUGCCUCCUGCUGCUGCCCGUCCGACGUCGACUCUCGUUUGUCCUUCUCGUGGCACGAUCCCGCUACCUCCUCCUGCACGUCCGACGUCCACUCUAGUUUGUCGUUCUCCUGCUCGCGUUCCAAUACAGUCUGUACCGGUUCUUGUCCGUCGCGUUUUUCCUCGAUCUCUAGAAACACCCUCCCGACCUGGCACUUCGGCAGCUCCUCCUAUAGUCCUUCCACAAACGCGUCCAGCCACUACAACACCUCCAGGCAGAGGUGUUCCUAGGGAGGUGGUUGUUCUUGUUCCCCAAACGCAAGCAGUCCAAACGUUUGUUUGUCGUCCACCGAGCCCGCGAACGACUCCACUUCUUAGGAUACUAUGUACCGUUUGCAACACCACAACGACGAUCGCUCCUGUUGCUAUGUGAGAAGAACCCGUUAUAAACGUUAUGUACCUGUUUCCUUCGAUAAUUCUUCUCCGACGAACUGAUACCCCAUCUUCCUCAAGUUUCAAAUUGAGAACAAGGACUAUGAGUUUUGCUUCCGGUCUCGGCACCAAAACGUAAAGAGCUCAAGAGAACGGUGCGCCUACGCUACGAACGUAAGUUUUCCGACGUCGUUGGUCUACGAGAUAAACCAGUGGGACUCUCUUGACGUUUUCAACGGAAACGUCUCGGUUAUUUUCUUCGUCUACGUCUUCAAUACCGAGUCCAGUUUAGUCAAAAAUAACUACCUGAAGGUGGUAUGACCCUACUUCUUGCACAAUUUUUGGCUAAGUCUCGAAUACCACACUAUCUUGCUCAACACGAACGAGCGUUAUACAGAUCACGAUUUUCUUUGCUAAAACCUAAACAGUUGAAGAGUUGGGUACUCCUCCGAGAACGAACAUAACUUCGGUGGUUGUUGUGGCUCGACCCACUACUACCUUUUCGUUUCGAUUUUCAUUCCCAAUCUGAAAGUUUGGGAAAUGGAUUUUCAGUCCGACACUUUCCACUUUACUCACCGCCCAAAGCUUAACCUGUAGGACCUAGACCAAAAUUGUCCGGACCAUCUCCAAAAUUAUCCCUGUCUCGACGGGGAGCGGCCCUUCCAAAGGUACCACUAUCCCCAAAGUUAUUAGUGUGAGGACCAGCACCACGCUCUAAAUUAAGACGUAUGUCAUUGUUGUCAAAACUUCGAAGCGGGAGACUAAAGGCUCGGUCCGUCCGAGGAGGACGGAAAGCUCCCCCCUCUACCCUUGGAAGGAGUCCUUCCGUACUAAAGAAACUAUCUCCCGUCCCCUCUCCCAUAGUAGUAGGUGGAUCUCCCGGUUGUAAACUCGGACUCCCACUAAAACCAUCUGGGAAACCACUUUUGGGUAUAGAGAUACUUCUACAAGCCGUAUCACGAUUCUCCGGUAUAAGAGUGUACCUUGGGCCGGGAGGACCUAUGAAACUCGUACCAGGAGGAGCACACGCGGGAGCGAAACUGGUAAUGCUCGUCGGUGGUAAAGGACCUCCCUUGGCAAAACCAGUAAUACUGGUCGGUGGUAAAGGACCUCCACUGGCGGUGUCUCUGAGAAAACCCUGCUCCCCACCAAUAAGUGCACUAGUGAUACCGGGACCAAGACCAGGACCAGUACGGGGCGGGGGGCGGGUACGGGUACGGGGCGGGGGACGGGUACGGGUACGGGUACGGGGUCGAGUUAUACCAUCCCCACGUAAGGCUGGUGUGGUUUCUCCGCCCGUAAGACCUCCGCCAAUAAUGGUGGUGAUCCACCAUAGUGUCAUACAGAGAACAGUGGACCACACUGAAGCACAAUGACCAGGACAAACUAUAAACGUAGCACCCCGUGAUUGUACCCAAAUGUACGUCUGAAGUCCACCACGGCGCAAUGUGAUCACAAACACAAACCAUACUGAUCACUCUUUGUAAUACGGCGAAUAAUCGAUGAUCAUGAGUGUCCAGCCAACCAACAAUCAAUAGAACUCUACUAUUAAUGGCAACAACCCCUCGUUAUUAAUUAAAAGGAACAAUUUCCUGUACAAACCCCACUACUUACACAACACUCCUAUAACCACCUACUACAAUAUCUUGAUCUCCGUACUCACUGUACCUGGCUGGAGAGACAUAAACUAAUCUAUUGUGACACCUAAUACCUAAAAUCUGUCAAAUACACCGAAACGGACUCUAACAACUACAACCAGAACUCCAGUUUACCCCUAUACUCUGACAACAAACCAUUCUAUAAACUAAGAACAGAACCCCUAUAAACCACAUUUACAACACUAAUAUAUCACCUAGUACGUCAAAUGCCACAGUCUUAACAACCUCAACCAGUUCAUCUGAGAAAAGACCUCCAAGUAACCGAUAAAAUCGUCAACCAGAUUUAAACAACUCCACGAGAAACCCCCUGUACUACUGCCGUAAACUCGUACCUUGUCCUUCAAUGAAACCACAAUACUCUAACCAUCAACCUAAAACCCAAAUUCCUUCUAAGCUAAGCUACCUUGGCAAAUCCGAAAACACAAAGGGAAUACAAUAUAUGUUCAACAGACAGGACACCCAAAGAAAAUUGUGAACAUCGAGAAGGAAGAACAGAACCAUUAAACGAUUGCAUCAUCGAAAUUCGCUUUUAAUCACCUCGUGUGAUCUUCUUCAGACGACUCCGUCCAUUCUUUUCGUACGAGUAGAUCUCCAAACCAAACGACGCAAGAAUAAGAACCCCGCUACUUCCGUCCGUAAGAACCACAUACGUAUCGUAGUAGACUUCUUCCUAAGAACAGAAGAGUAGAACACAAAAGUACCUGUAAACUGGUGAGAACACAAAACUACAUGUAAGGGUCUACAAGAAAAACAAAAAAGUUAAGGUACGUGUCUUCAAAACUUACACUACUAUUAACAUUAAGAACCACGCUUAUUCAGUCCAUACUUUAAAAAAAGCAAAGUGUGGGCCCCGCCCUGCCCAAUAAGCAACAAUGACUACCAACCUUG